rnacentral:snRNA from 1 species
ACAUGUGAGGGUGAUCUGGCUGCAACACCUGUCAUGCUAUUGGUCACCAGGCAGGUGUCCCCAUCCUCCCUCACUGCUCUGGGCGUCCUGCCUGAAGCAGCAUGCUGGGCAGAAGGGAACACCUUUGUUGGUAGAGGAAGAGAGCUCUUUGGUCUAGGCUAUAGAGUAGCUGUGCCCCAUGCUGGAACCUCCAGCCUCACAAAACAGCAGCAGCAAGCACCACUUUCAAAACAGAAAAACAAAACAAAAAAACCCUAACAUUU